CGGGACGUGGCGCAGCUUGGUAGCGCACCCGCUUUGGGAGCGGGGGGUCGCAGGUUCAAAUCCUGUCGUCCCGA
rnacentral:tRNA from 4 species